UACUUAGGGAUCUGCCUUCGGGAGGGGAUAACCAUUGGAAACGAUGGCUAAUGCCGCAUAACGUCUACGGACCAAAGGGGGCUUCGGCUCUCACCUGAAGAGGAACCUAAGCGAGAUUAGCUUGUUGGUGAGGUAAAGGCUCACCAAGGCGACGAUCUCUAGCUGUUCUGAGAGGAAGAUCAGCCACACUGGGACUGAGACACGGCCCAGACUCCUACGGGAGGCAGCAGUGGGGAAUAUUGCACAAUGGGGGAAACCCUGAUGCGGCCAUGCCGCGUGUGAAGAAGGCCUUCCGGUUGU
rnacentral:rRNA from 1 species